UGGGAGCAGGAAAUCCCUUUCCUUCCAAGGACUUUCACAGCAGCAAGCUCGGGGUACCAGUGCUUUGUGAGUUUGGGCUAAGAUAUGUAGCCUUUAGUACAGUCCCGUGGCAGAAGUAAAUCCAAAAUCAAACCUACUGUUGAAUGAAGUACCCUUUCGAGCUAAGGGAGGCACUAUUUGACAGAACAAAAGGUAUCUCUCCAUUCCUGUCAAGCUCAAGGAUAUCUGGAAGUACUGCAAAACGGGAUUAACUCUGCAGCCAUUCUGGGAUCUGCUCUGCACAGCCAGAGAUGCCACUGACAGCUUUUGGAUAGGAGGAAGCUGAGGCUAAAGAGCAGGAAUAUUUCUUGCC